rnacentral:rRNA from 1 species
GAUGAACGCUGGCGGCGUGCCUAAUACAUGCAAGUCGAGCGAACGGACGAGAAGCUUGCUUCUCUGAUGUUAGCGGCGGACGGGUGAGUAACACGUGGAUAACCUACCUAUAAGACUGGGAUAACUUCGGGAAACCGGAGCUAAUACCGGAUAAUAUUUUGAACCGCAUGGUUCAAAAGUGAAAGACGGUCUUGCUGUCACUUAUAGAUGGAUCCGCGCUGCAUUAGCUAGUUGGUAAGGUAACGGCUUACCAAGGCAACGAUGCAUAGCCGACCUGAGAGGGUGAUCGGCCACACUGGAACUGAGACACGGUCCAGACUCCUACGGGAGGCAGCAGUAGGGAAUCUUCCGCAAUGGGCGAAAGCCUGGCGGAGCAACGCCGCGUGAGUGAUGAAGGUCUUCGGAUCGUAAAACUCUGUUAUUAGGGAAGAACUUAUGUGUAAGUAACUGUGCACAUCUUGACGGUACCUAAUCAGAAAGCCACGGCUAACUACGUG